rfam:Oryza sativa Japonica Group DNA, chromosome 1, cultivar: Nipponbare, complete sequence.
UUUAAGUGCAGCUAUGAGCUUCUAUAUUUAACGUUUGAUCAUUCGUCUUAUUUAAAAUUUUUCAUAAUUAGUAGUUUUUUAUUAGUGACUUAUUUUUUUAAUUUUUUAUAUUUUUUAAAUAAGAUGGACGGUCAAACAUUAAGCAGAGAAACCAACAGCUACACUUAAA